AUUGAACGCUGGCGGCAUGCUUUACACAUGCAAGUCGAACGGUAACAGGCCGCAAGGUGCUGACGAGUGGCGAACGGGUGAGUAAUGCAUCGGAACGUGCCCAGUCGUGGGGGAUAACUACUCGAAAGAGUAGCUAAUACCGCAUACGAUCUAUGGAUGAAAGCGGGGGACCGUAAGGCAUCGCGCGAUUGGAGCGGCCGAUGUCAGGUUCGGUAGUUGGUGGGGUAAAGGCUCACCAAGCCAACGAUCUGUAGCUGGUCUGAGAGGACGACCAGCCACACUGGGACUGAGACACGGCCCAGACUCCUACGGGAGGCAGCAGUGGGGAAUUUUGGACAAAGGGCGCAAGCCUGAUCCAGCAAUGCCGCGUGCAGGAAGAAGGCCUUCGGGUUGUAAACUGCUUUUGUACGGAACGAAACGGCUCUGGUUAAUACCCGGGGCUAAUGACGGUACCGUAAGAAUAAGCACCGGCUAACUACGUG
rnacentral:rRNA from 1 species